rnacentral:sRNA from 1 species
GACUCCAGGACAGCACAGAUCAUGUUUCAGGCAUAUGGAGACAAACAGGGACCACUGCAUGGAAUGUUAAUCAAUACUCCAUAUGUGACCAAAGACCUGCUGCAAUCAAAGAGGUUCCAGGCACAGUCCUUAGGGACAACAUACAUAUAUGAUAUCCCAGAGAUGUUUCGGCAGUCCCUGAUCAAACUCUGGGAGUCUAUGUCCACUCAAGCAUUUCUUCCAUCUCCCCCUCUGCCUUCUGACAUGCUGACUUACACUGAACUGGUAUUGGAUGAUCAAGGUCAGCUGGUCCACAUGAACAGGCUUCCAGGAGGAAAUGAGAUUGGCAUGGUAGCUUGGAAAAUGACCUUUAAAAGUCCUGAAUAUCCAGAAGGCCGAGAUAUCAUUGUUAUUGGCAAUGACAUCACAUACCGAAUUGGGUCCUUUGGGCCUCAAGAGGAUUUGUUAUUUCUCAGAGCUUCUGAACUUGCUAGGGCAGAAGGUAUUCCACGCAUCUAUGUAUCAGCCAACAGUGGAGCAAGAAUCGGACUGGCAGAAGAAAUUCGUCAUAUGUUUCAUGUGGCCUGGGUAGAUCCUGAGGAUCCUUACAAGGUACACGCUAAGAACAUAUACUACUUCAAGGUGCUAUAUGGUUAUGCUACAUGUGUGGAGAGGUGGGGGAAGGGUAGAGGUUUAAGUUCAAAAAUCACCACUUAUGGUAAAAAUUAAAUAUAAACAAAAUUAUUUGUGAAAAUUCCUUAAGACACCAUAUUAGAGACAAAUUAUUUCUCAA